CGCACUUUCACAGCUCUCUCCUAAGCCAGUGAGCUUGGGAAAUCAGUCACUUCAAACUGGCUUCUGUCCUUGUUUGCUGCUUCUACGUCACAAGGGUGUUGGAAGGAUUAAUUAGUCAACAUGUGAGAUUCUUUGAAGAUGAAAGCUCUCUAAAUUGCUAGGCAGUGCCAGCAUUCCUUCAGAGCACAUAUUCCUCUUUUAUAUUUAUAAAAAUCCACCAACAUCCCGCUAACCCUUUUCGCUAACUUUAUUUACUCAGCUUGCCUUUAUUAAAAAUUAACUAGCUUUGUUUUUUCCCCUCAACAAGUUUCAUAACAUUUACUUACUAACCCAUGUCCUCAUUUCUUUUCCCCAUUUUCCCCGGGAGUUUUUUCUUACUCAGAGAGAGAGGAGAUCUUCUUCAGGCCUUAUGACCUGGCUUAUUGUGUUGCUUCUGCUCAUGGAGACUGUGGCCUGAGACCCUGGAAACCAGAGGAGAAAGAAGCCACGUUACUGCAUUUCAGGGAAGCGCUCCCCGGAUUAGCUGCUGUAAUCCAGAGGAUGCUUGGAUCCACUCGUGCAGCACAGUCUGAAUUUGUCUCAGCAGAUUUUCACCUGUUUGACUCUGUUCUGGGAUCAGCUAUGGACUGCAAGCUGAAAUCUGGACUUCCUGGAAACUGACAUGGUUGUUCCCUGCCUCCUUGGGUGGAUCAACUACAAGAUGCUUGUGACUGCCCCAUUGCCCAGCCUUUGACUGGCAUUUCAGCCCCCCUAGCCCCUGAUGCUGAUGGCCCAAUGGUCAGCACUGAAGAAGCUCCAGAAGAUGGAUCUUCGCCCAAAUCCCACCUAGCAGGCGAAAAUGCUAAGUCAAAUGGGGCUGGCUCCCUGGCAUUAGCUAUUAUCUUGGGCAUCUGCUUAGCUGAAAUGGAAACUAACACUGCAGCAACUGGGCUAAAAGCCUAGAGAGACACUGGAGAAAAAAAUAAUAGUUCUCUUUGGCUUACUACCCCUAUAUCCACCCUGAAGGGACCCCUACUCAUUUUGAUUUUUAUCUUUGGGCCUUGUAUUUUAACUUGCUUGAUGGUUUUCAUAAAGAAAUACUUGCGAGCAAUACACUAAUGGUACUCAGAUCCCAUUAUAAAAAGGUAAAUCUAUAGGAUACAAGGGGUCAUAUCUGGAAGACCCAAGAUUAGGUCUUCAAAUGAUCAUGAGAAAGGGGGAAAUGAGAGACCAAAAGAUUAAAAAUUAGCAGCUGUUAUUAAUUAAAGCCUGAACUAGGUAGGUGGAGAAGUCCGGUAAUGCCCUGAGGGGAAGGACCACCUUACUGCAUUCUUUCCCCACCCACUAGAGAUGCAGUUGCUAGGAAACUGGCCCAUCCCCCUAGGGAGGGACACCAGGUCAUUAAUGGUCUGGGGACCUUCCUGUAGCCAAUCAAUUCAAAUGUAGCAUUUUGACCAAUAAAUGCUUGCCAGGCAGGAACUGCCCCUGCCUUGGGCAUGCUGGGAGGGACCAGAAUCUUUAAAUCACCCAACUAACCUGGGUACAGGGUGCUAGGCUCCCACUGCUUCGGCAGUGGGGGGGUGCGGGCCCAAGCUGCAGCUUGUAAUUUACAAUAAAAAGAACCUCAUGUACUUAAA